rnacentral:lncRNA from 1 species
CCAGCACCAGGUCGUGUGGGUUUCAUGUGAAGGUGAAAACGUGGCCGAUAAGGAGCAUAUAGGCCCAGUCCGGUACAUCCCUCAGAAGGGCUUCCCGUCCCAAUAUUUCCCUUACACGAACCAGGAAGGGUACCUGAGCCCCUUGGUGGCUGUGCACUUCGAAAAGCCCAAGCGAGGAGUUUUGAUCAACAUCGAGUGCAAAGCCUGGGCCAGAAACAUUGUGCAUGACCGAGUGGACCGAAGAGGGUCCGUUCACUUCGAACUCAUGAUUGAUUAAGUGACGAAUUGAGUACAAGACAACAGAAGGAGGAGGAGGAGGAGGAGGAGGUUUACGUACACAUCCCUAUAUGAUUUCACUGGGCGCCUAACGUAGCGCUUCAAUUCCUCAUUGCGCCUAAUCUACUUAAAACAAAUAGACUAUGAGUGUGAAGCGAGGAAAAGUGUUGCUUAACUCAAAGCAGCAAAGUACUUAGAUUGUUUCGUGUUCACUCUGUAAAUACUCGCUUGAACAAGCUCAAAGUACUCACUACUUUAGAUCAAGCAAGCGCUUUCGUAUGUAUGUUACGGAAUUUAUUCUCCUCGUUGGUGAUUUAAGGGCCAGCCCGUCUCAACAACAGGGUUUUCCGCGGGAAUUUCGCUCUGACUGUUGCUCAGACGGGCCCAAUUUCACUGUUAUAAUGUUAGACAUUUAAAUUAACUCUAUUUAAACAAAUAGUAUUAUAAAUAAGAAACCAUUGUUAUUAAUUAUGAUAGGAUUUAGGCGUUCUAGGCAACAAGCUUCUACGGGGGAAAGUUUCGCUAAUCGGAUACCGUAACUAUCAGGCAAUAUCGAUAACGCACAAAGCUCGCAUUGGACUGAAGCCAAGUGUUGUUUAACGUAAAACCCAACCCCCGGCAUUACGUUACUCCGAUCUAUAAAUACGUCGCUUUUAACCUUCUAGAAUACUCUAUAUGUACAAUACUUGCUAGAAUUAUCAGUGUAACUUCAAUAAGGACAUGGAUGGGCUUUGAAUUGAAGCCAGUAACGCCCGUUUCUUCAGUAGAAGGUGCCACCAGAGCCACGUGUAGGCGCAUGUUGUUAAAUCUUAACCUCUUCUUGUUAAUACACUGAACCGACUUUACUUUCCUGUGGAUGUAGAGGAGUUUUUUAUCGUUAACUACAACACUCUAGGGGCAUUAAUGUAGCUAAUCGAUGGAUUUGCGUAGGGAUGAACUAGAGAGAUAAAUAUGUAAAUGUUUCCAAACACCA